rnacentral:rRNA from 1 species
AAUAUUGGACAAUGGGGGCAACCCUGAUCCAGCCAUGCCGCGUGUGUGAAGAAGGUCUUCGGAUGGUAAAGCACUUUAAGUUGGGAGGAAGGGCUUUAGGUUAAUACCCUGAAGUUUUGACUUUACCAACAGAAUAAGCACCGGCUAACUCGGUGCCAGCAGCCGAGGUAAUACAGAGGGUGCAAGCGUUAAUCGGAAUACAUGGGCGUAAAGCGCGCGUAGGUGGUUCAGUAAGAUGGGUGUGAAAGCCCCGGGCUUAACCUGGGAACUGCUUUCAUAACUGCUGAGCUAGAGUACGGUAGAGGGUGGUGGAAUUUCCUGUGUAGCGGUGAAAUGCGUAGAUAUAGGAAGGAACACCAGUGGCGAAGGCGACUACCUGGACUGAUACUGACACUGAGGUGCGAAAGCGUGGGGAGCAAAC